rnacentral:lncRNA from 1 species
GCCUGCUAGGAAGUAGUACUAGAAAGUAGAAACAGAGGGGAAAUAGAGAGAUCGCCUCAGCGUCGUCGUCACGAGCUGCAGCCCAUCCGCAUUGCAGCCGUGAUAUCAGGAAAUGCUCUCGUUUCCAUUUUAGGGUCCGUAUGCUAGCUCCAACUUCUUCUUCUUCCUCCUCGCUGAUCAUCUCCUCUCCUGCGGUGCUUGGAAAGCCCUGCUGCUUUUGCUGCCUCACUCGCCCUCGCUAGCUAGCCGUUCCAGGUUGAAAGCCCCUUGAGGUAGGACGGAGGUGCAUGUGGUUGGCGGUUCAUAGGCCGUCGCCGUCGCCGGUGCUUUCUCUCUCCAUGAUUGUUUAAGGUUCGGCUACUAAUCCCUAGCUCCGGAGGGCUUCCUCGGCUGUUCCCACUUUGGUUCUUCAACAUUAUUUCACUUCUUGUUUUUGCGAUUACUAUCUCUUUGUGUGGUACGGCUUGGAAUGGAAGAUCUCUAGUGAUUGCGCUGUUGGUUCUCAUGUUGAAUAUUGAAUGUUGAAAAAGAAAAAGGUUCCUCAAGGGAAUGUUGAAUGAGCAGUUGGAUAAGCACAAUUUCUUAUGAGAGCGGCUACUGCAACUCAUGCCCAUAUAGCCUUUCUCCAUUUAUUCUGGCGCUUUUCUUGCGCUGCCCCAUUUUGAAAUUCCAGGACAAACAACCUGUUUUACUGUGUGCUUUAGGUGGCUUUUUUCUAGAUCAGCUAUGCUUUAGAUUUCUGCAUUUUUGUGCCAAGGCUAGCAAGUAGGUGGUGUUUUUCUGUUCUUGCCGCAAAUUAGGUGAACUUUUUUCCUCCUCCUGUGGUCAGUGCUGUGCAAUUUGGUGUGCAUUUCUGCCUGCUACAAUUCGCACAGUAGCUCACCUUGCAUCUUCAACUUUGUGAAGGAACAAUCUGUUAACUGUGUCUUGAUGUCACCAAUUAUUUGGCUCACAUAUACUACUGCUGCUUUGCUUCAGGUCUUUUAAAAUUGGUAGUGUGCA